UCUUCCAAAACCUGUAGUUUCUCAAAUCUGACCCAUCUUUCUACUUUUCUCUCAAUCAUAGCAAUAAGGAAUGGUAAAAUGCUUUAAUUUCUGGGAGAAUGAAGUUAAGGUUCAAUUUACGUAUAAUAGUUAUUAUCAAGAAAAUUUAUGAGUUCUAAAUUUACUUUUAUGGAUAUUAUGUUUCCCAAAUCAUCGUCUUACUGAUCAAUGGUGUUUUCAAGGUCUGAAUUUCUCUCCUCAGAUAAAGAAGACCACAAAAAUAACAUUUUCAAAAUUUUUCUUCUUCAUCAUCUUCGAUUUUAGAAAAUAGCACAAAUUGCACGAAAAGAACUUUUGAAAAAACAUGGCUUCGAGAUUUUAGACUCAAAGUGAUAGUGAUUCAGAAGAGGAGGAACAAAGUGAUUACGAUGAGGAAAUUGAAAUUGCAGCAGUUGAAUCUACUGUAACUCAAGGCAAUAAAAUCACGGGUAAUGCUAUUGACAGUGAUGAUGACAACAGUCAUAUGUGUGUUGUUAAAUCUACGAAAGAUAAGCAAUUUGAUGAGAUGGCUUCUAAGGAACAUAUUCUUAUCAAGUGGAAUAAGCUGCCAAUGAGGAUGGAAGAACUCCCAGCAUUUGGGAUACCUUUGCUCAUGGUCAACAGGAGCCCUUGGAAGCUCGAAAGACGAUGAUUCAUCUUAAGUAGCUAUGGUACGUUGGUGUUUAAAUGGAAAUGCUCUUGUGGCCUUCAGCUUAACACUGCAGAGGCAGAGGGAGAUCAAAAUUAGCAAAGUGAAACAAAAGGUUGGCACAUAUUUUUUUGAAUUCUCGAGGUCUUUGAGGACUAUGGAUCAUCUAGAACACGUUAGAACUUAGAAACCUAUAUGCCGCAUUCUGAAGUGCACUGAAUAUAGUAUACAAUUAUUAUUGAAUAUAAUGUUAAUGUUCUUCAAAUUAGUGAUAUAUUUAAAAGGUUGCAAGUGCAUUGUUGUCUUAAAAGGCGUUGUAGUGAUAUCUAUCCCCGUGAAUACUACAAACAAGUAAAAUAUACAAAAUUAUAACUUACAGGAUGUGCAAUUUACCCUUGGUGGAUCAAGCAAGAUGUCUGUCCGAUUCUGGUAUCCAGUAGACGGUCAUUAUUCGAUUAACUGUGAUUAGGUUGUAAUUGAUAUAUCGAGCAGUUCCGCUUCUUUGAGUGGCAAGUCAGUAGGCACAACAUCAAGUAGCUCAUGGAAUAUUGCAAGUGCAUUUUCACUUAUACUUUCUGUAGUAGCAAUCUAUGUGUCUCUAUUUGUGAGUUAUAGAGUUUUGCAUCCUAAGGGUGUUCUGUUUGUGAGUUAACAACUUGAGUAUGGGAUUGUAUUAUUCAUUAACGAUUGUACUAGACAGGUUCGUAGUACUGUUUAGUGAUUUCACUUUGUUUAUUUUUAAAUUUUAU